rnacentral:pre_miRNA from 1 species
UUUUCAGCAUAAGUAUAUCUCAUGCAAUGUCUGGGACAUACUUAUGCUAAGU